rnacentral:tRNA from 1 species
UGCAUCGGCCGGGAAUCGAACCCGCGUGGCAGGCGAGCAUUUUACCGUUGAACCACCGAUAC